UUUAGAUACUGUAAAAUCAAGCAGUCAGAUACGAUGGCAGCUCUGGUGUUUUUAUCAGAUAUGCAGAAAAAGAAUUUGAUUAAGGAGGUGGAGGGUGGCUAUUGGAUGAGACUGCAAAAGAGCCAAGAAUCGGAAAUUAUCAAACAUGAGGUAAAAAUCGUCAAGCACAUGCCAGAACUAAAGGCUUCUGAACAACCAACCAUCGCCAUUGUGACGUCACUUUUCUGCGAGAAAGUAGCUGUGGAUGCCAUGAUUGAAGAAAAAACAACAUAUGUGAAAUAUAAAACAGAAGGCGAGUCUCAAGUAUAUACAUUGGGGAGAAUAGGAAAGUUCAAAGUUGUUUCAACGAAAGUAUCUCGUAAAUCUUCGUCAGAGCAGGAGGCAAGGAUAUGUGCAGAAAACACUAUUACAAGACUUCUAGGUUCAUUCAGCAAAAUCCACCACGUGUUAAUCGUGGGUGUCGGAAGCGGGGUACCCCAUUACUCCGAUGGCAAUCAACACGUGCGUCUGGGGGAUGUGGUCGUGUCUGUGCCUUCCAGAAAGAACGGUGCUAUUUACAUGUACUGUGAUAAGAUAGAGAAGAUGACCGACGCAAACGGUUACAAUUAUUCUACGCGGGAAUGGGACUGCAGUGACAACUCGCUACAGGAUGUCGCCGUCAGUCUAAAACAAAUCAUGGAGAGGGACACCAACCCACAGAGGCCGUGGGACCGCUACAUGAACGACGCCAAAGAUAUCCUCCAAACCGAGGAAUCCAACUUCCACCGACCUCCAAUGAAGACGGAUCGACUGUUCUACACAGACGACAACGGAACGGACUUAGAACUGGAGCAUCCGGCCGCUGGUAAAGGUUACCGGGUAGGACAGAGCAACUGCCGCCUGGGGGUGAUCGCUAGCGGUAAACUUGUCUCCAGGAGCCCCCGUCUACGACAGUCAUUCGCGGAAAUAAACGGCAUCCGAGCAUACGACAGUGACGUCACUGCGGUUUUGGAAUCGUUGGAAGGGAACCGAAAUAACAGCUUUAUCAUCAUUCGAGGGAUCUCCGAUUAUUCCAGCGGCUCCAGAAAGGAAUGGCAACCGUACGCAUCCCUGGCUGCCGCCGCUUACAUGAAGUCGCUCAUUUAUGCUUUGAAAUAAUGAACUAGCUUUCAGGAUGGGGAUUUAAUUUUCCCUACGCUUAUUAAGUUUUUUUAUAUGAAUAUUUUUGGAGGGGGGGGGGGGUCCAUGUUAUGUGCAUAAUAUGACAGUGCUGUAAGAUUAAAAUGCAUUUAUUUU
rnacentral:misc_RNA from 1 species